rnacentral:tRNA from 1 species
AGGUCUGUCGCCAAGCGGUAAGGCAACGGGUUUUGAUCCCGUCACACCUAGGUUCGAAUCCUAGCAGACCUGCCA